CGAAGAGGUAUCGUAAUUGAAGAGGUUUGGAAAGACCCACCACAGAAGGUAAUAGUCCUGUAUGUUAAACGAGAAGACUUUAGAUAUGAUCCAGAGUACCACGGGACACGUGAAACCCUGUGGGAAGCAGGAGGGACCACCCUCCAAGGCUAAAUACUACCUAGUGACCGAUAGCGUAUAGUACCGUGAGGGAAAGGUGAAAAGAACCCCGGGAGGGGAGUGAAAUAGAACCUGAAACCCUGCACUUACAAGCUGUGGAAGCACAUUUCUUGUGUGACCGCGUACUUUUUGUAGAACGGGCCAACGAGUUACGUUAAGUAGCAAGGUUAAGCACUUAAGGUGUGGAGCCGUAGCGAAAGCGAGUUUUAACUGAGCGUUCAGUUACUUGACGUAGACCCGAAACCGGGCGACCUACCCAUGAGCAGGAUGAAGCGAAAGUAAAAUUUCGUGGAGGUCCGAACCCACGAGCGUUGAAAAGCUCGGGGAUGACUUGUGGGUAGCGGUGAAAUUCCAAUCGAGCCCGGAGAUAGCUGGUUCUCCCCGAAAUAGCUUUAGGGCUAGCCUCAAGGUGAGAGAUACGGAGGUAGAGCACUGAAUGUCCUAGGGGGUAUUGCACCUACCGAAGACUAUCAAACUCCGAAUGCCGUCAUCUUAUACUUGGGAGUCAGACUGUGGGUGAUAAGAUUCAUAGUCGAAAGGGCAACAGCCCAGAUCGUCAGCUAAGGUCCCUAAAUGUAAGUUAAGUGGUAAAGGAUGUGGGAUUGCACAGACAACCAGGAUGUUGGCUUAGAAGCAGCCACUCAUUCAAAGAGUGCGUAAUAGCUCACUGGUCGAGUGAUCCUGCGCCGAAGAUUUCCGGGGCUAAAACUUACUACCGAAGCUACGGCAUCAGUAAUGAUGGGUAGGGGAGCUUCCCAUACGGGUUGAAGCAUGACCGUAAGGACAUGUGGACAGUAUGGGAGUGAGAAUGUUGGCAUGAGUAGCGAGAUGUGGGUGAGAAUCCCACAGGCCGUAAACCCAAGGUUUCCAGGGGAAGGUUCGUCCGCCCUGGGUUAGUCGGGACCUAAGCUGAGGCCGAAAGGCGUAGGUGAUGGACAACAGGUUGAUAUUCCUGUACUACCGAUAACCGUUUGAGAGAAGGGAUGACACAGUAGGAUAAGCUAAGCACACUGUUGGUUAUGUGUGCCCAAGCAUUGAGGCAGUCAAAGUAGGCAAAUCCGCUUUGAUAAUGCUGGGAUGUGAUGGGGAGCGAAAUUUAGUAGCGAAGUAGCUGAUUUCACACUGUCAAGAAAAGUCUCUAUCGAGGUUAAAGGUACCCGUACCGCAAACCGACACAGGUGGGUGAGGAGAGUAUCCUAAGGCCAGCGAGAGAACUGUUGUUAAGGAACUCGGCAAAAUGACCCCGUAACUUAGGGAUAAGGGGUGCCACCAUCAGGUGGCCGCAGAGAAUAGGCCCAAGCGACUGUUUACCAAAAACAUAGGUUUCUGCUAAGUCGCAAGACGAUGUAUAGGAGCUGACGCCUGCCCGGUGCUGGAAGGUUAAGGGGAUCUGUUAGAGCAAUCGAAGCAGUGAACUUAAGCCCCAGUAAACGGCGGCCGUAACUAUAACGGUCCUAAGGUAGCGAAAUUCCUUGUCGGGUAAGUUCCGACCCGCACGAAAGGCGUAACGAUUUGGGCACUGUCUCAACAACAGACUCGGUGAAAUUGUAAUUCCGGUGAAGAUGCCGGAUACCUGCGACAGGACGGAAAGACCCCAUGGAGCUUUACUGUAGCUUGACAUUGGGUCUUGGUACUACAUGUACAGGAUAGGUGGGAGGCUUUGAAACCAGGACGCCAGUUUUGGCGGAGCCAUCCUUGGGAUACCACCCUUGUAGUACUGGGACUCUAACCAUAGGCCAUGAAUCUGGUCUUGGGACACUGUCAGGUGGGCAGUUUGACUGGGGCGGUCGCCUCCCAAAAGGUAACGGAGGCGCUCAAAGGUUCUCUCAGUACGGUCGGAAAUCGUACGUAGAGUGUAAAGGCAAAAGAGAGCUUGAUUGCAAGACAUACAGGUCGAGCAAGGAUGAAAAUCGGACUUAGUGAUCCGGUGGUUCUGCGUGGAAGGGCCAUCGCUCAACGGAUAAAAGCUACCCUGGGGAUAACAGGCUUAUCUCCCCCAAGAGUCCACAUCGACGGGGAGGUUUGGCACCUCGAUGUCGGCUCAUCACAUCCUGGGGCUGUAGUAGGUCCCAAGGGUUGGGCUGUUCGCCCAUUAAAGUGGUACGCGAGCUGGGUUCAGAACGUCGUGAGACAGUUCGGUCCCUAUCCGUCGCAGGCGUAGGAAAUUUGAGAAGACCUGUCCUUAGUACGAGAGGACCGGGAUGGACGUACCUCUGGUGUACCAGUUGUCCUGCCAAGGGCAUGGCUGGGUAGCUAUGUACGGAAUGGAUAAGCGCUGAAAGCAUCUAAGCGCGAAGCCAACUUCAAGAUAAGAUUUCCCACCGCAAGGGUAAGACCCCAGAAAGACUAUCUGGUUGAUAGGUCGAAGGUGUAAGUGCAGCAAUGUAUUUAGCUUAUCGAUACUAAUAGGUCGAGGACUUGACC
rnacentral:rRNA from 1 species